CGGGGUCCACUUAUCCGACCGCCUCCCCACCACUGAUCCCAACCGCGUCCUACUCCCCGUUAUAUCCACGUCCUCUACCUCUCCGUCAACCAUGAUUUGAGGGAGAGCAGACUAUGACGGAGUCUAAUGAUCCGGUAACAGGACACAUCAUCUCCACCACCAUUGGAGGCAAAAAUAGUGAACCUAAGAGAACGAUUAGCUAUAUGGCUUGUGAAUUUAUCUACUAUCCAACUCGGUGAAGAAAAUGACGAUGAUGAUGAAGUCAAAGGGCGGUAGAUGAGGCUUAUCGAGUUAUUGGGUUUCGCAUCUGUGUCGGAUGGUAUAUCGGAGCUCGCUCUCCUGUGUGCUUUUUCUCCCUCUCGCGCUCUCUUCUCUCUCCUGGCGGUGGCGUUCUUGCUCCUCUCUCUCUCUCUCUCUCUCUCUCCCCCCUCUCUUUCAGCCCUCAGCAGUGAUUUUUGGGGAAUUAAAGAGGAAUUAUUACUGUAGCUAUA